rnacentral:rRNA from 1 species
GUAGGGUGCGAGCGUUAAUCGGAAUUACUGGGCGUAAAGCGUGCGCAGGCGGUUCUGUAAGCCAGAUGUGAAAUCCCCGGGCUUAACCUGGGAAUGGCAUUUGGGACUGCAAGGCUGGAGUGUGGCAGAGGAGACUGGAAUUCCUGGUGUAGCAGUGAAAUGCGUAGAUAUCAGGAGGAAUACCGAUGGCGAAGGCAGGUCUCUGGGCUGACACUGACGCUCAUGCACGAAAGCGUGGGGAGCAAACAGGAUUAGAUACCCUGGUAGUCCACGCCCUAAACGAUGUCGACUGGUUGUUGGGGGUUUGACACUCUCAGUAACGAAGCUAACGCGUGAAGUCGACCGCCUGGGGAGUACGGCCGCAAGGUUA